rfam:Camelus ferus unplaced genomic scaffold scaffold1471, whole genome shotgun sequence.
GAGGGUAUAGCUCAGUGGUAGAGCAUAUGUUUAGCAUGCAGGAGGUUCUGGGUUCAAUCCUCAGUACCUCCG